AACUUUGGUCACCGGAGAACUGCCACCGGCGGCCACUAUAUUUCGCUGAAGCAGCUUCUUUUCCUGCUUCCUUCUGCGGCAUCAGCACAUAUGCAUCUUGAAUCGCCGGCGAGGUUUCUUCUCAAUGAAGCCAUCUUCGAGGGUUAUAGAAACAUGAAGAUUUUGGGGGAUUCUUUCAAUCGCAGACUAAAGUGAGUAAAAAUCCUUUCUUUGAUCUAUACGCAGGCAAUGUCUUCACCUUCGUUUUGUUUGCCUCGCCCAUGUAAGCUCAGUUCAUCAAUUUCACUUCUCUUCCUCGGAUUUGUGCGGCCCAACUUCUCGAUGUAUUGCCUGAACAUGUUCAGGCCACCAACAUUUCUAUGAAUUGUGGGGUUGCCCUACAUAUACUCCCUCUUGAAUUUCUUGAUCUGCAUGGAGUGAUCUUACCAACAUUUGCAGAAAGGAUGUCUGCACUGCUCUUGGGUGUGUUUGGUGUUCAUUUGUGGGAUGUUUGAGUGUUGCUUCUUUCAUUUCCAUGUUUACUUCUCCAUUGCUCAUCGUUGUAGGUCUUCUGGUCAUUCUUAGUAGACCUCAUUCAGUCAUCUGUCACUACAAUUUUGAUUUUCCAUUGCUCCACUCGUUAGAAUUUGGUGAUCAAGACGAAGAUUGUGGAGUUCAUGCCUUUCUAUCUUUCACUCUCAUUUGUGUACGGGACAGUAUUGCAUCAUGUCUUCAUAUAUAUCCAAAAUGGAAUUGGAACCGUCCUGGGAAUUGCACAAUUGUUGCUGUAUGCCUACUACAGCAGAAAAUCUGGAGCUGAGUCUGGCUUGCCGUUGCUGGCUUCAUAUUAAGAAUCAAUCACGUGACUAACCUGUGAUGGGAUUCUUAGAGAAAAACGGAGAAGCUCGGCUUCGCCUCAUCUUAUUUCCCAAUCCCCCCUACCCUAAACUCUAAUUCUCGCGGGUUCGUUGGCGGUGAAGACGUCUAACUCACGGACGACGGUGGUACCAUGAACACAUUGAAGAGUUGAGGGGAUUAUGGAGUUGAGGAGACCAGAUCUGACGGGUUAACAAGCAGACCGGAAAACAAACCGUUAUCAUCAAAACUGAGCAGGAGAAGGAAGAAGAGUAAAUAAGUUUGGAAAUGGGAAAGACAAAGACAUGUGUUUGUUGGACGGAAUCUUGGUAUUUAUAACACUUCGGAGGAAACACAUAUGCAAGUUAACAUAUUUAGCGGUGCUGUACACAAGUCCUAUAAAACUUGUGAAGAAGCAGUAGCAGCAUUUACUGCCAACAAAACAAGCUACUACCUUUACCCAUGCUAAAAAGAAACCUUCGAGCUCAACUUCCAGAUCGAGCUCAACAGCUGCUUCGAGUUCUAGUAAACCCGACCAAUCUGAGUGCUAGCUAAACUUAUGGAUGCACAGUUAGAGUUAGCAAAUGAGCAUCGUAACCAUUGUUUAAAGGUUGCAGAGAUGUUUGAGGAUAUAGAACAACAAUUUAAAUCUCUCCGUGUUAGAGAUGAUGCCAAGUGAUUUUCUUUUAUGGUGAAUAAAGGUUUGAAAUCUCUCCGUGUUAGAGAUUAUGCCAAAUAGUUUUUUUUUUUAUGGUGAAUGAAGGUUUGAAAUCUCUCCGUGUUAGAGAUGAUGCCAAAUAAUUUUUUUUAUAGUGUAAUGAAGGUUUGAAAUCACUCCGUGUUAGAGAUGAUGUCAAAUAGUUUUUUUAUGGUGUAAUGAAGGUUGAUCCAUGUAUU